rnacentral:rRNA from 1 species
AACUAACGCUGGCGGCGUGCCUAACACAUGCAAGUCGUACGAGAAAGUCGGCUUCGGCUGAUGAGUAAAGUGGCGCACGGGUGAGUAACGCGUGGAUAAUCUGCCCUUUAGUUGGGAAUAACGUACCGAAAGGUGCGCUAAUACCGAAUAAUGCUGAGUGACAUCAGUUAUUUAGCCAAAGAAGGCCUCUGCUUGCAAGCUUUCGCUGAAGGAUGAGUCCGCGUACCAUUAGCUAGUUGGUAGGGUAAUGGCCUACCAAGGCGACGAUGGUUAGCUGGUCUGAGAGGAUGAUCAGCCACACUGGAACUGAGACACGGUCCAGACUCCUACGGGAGGCAGCAGUGAGGAAUAUUGCGCAAUGGGGGCAACCCUGACGCAGCAACGCCGCGUGAGUGAGGAAGGUUUUCGGACCGUAAAGCUCUGUCGAGCGGGAAGAAAUGCAUGGUGGCUAAUAUCCAUCAUGCUUGACGGUACCGACG